UACGAAGGGGGCUAGCGUUGCUCGGAAUCACUGGGCGUAAAGGGUGCGUAGGCGGGUUUUUAAGUCAGGGGUGAAAUCCUGGAGCUCAACUCCAGAACUGCCUUUGAUACUGGCGAUCUCGAGUCCGGGAGAGGUGAGUGGAACUGCGAGUGUAGAGGUGAAAUUCGUAGAUAUUCGCAAGAACACCAGUGGCGAAGGCGGCUCACUGGCCCGGUACUGACGCUGAGGUGCGAAAAGCGUGGGGGAGCAAACAGG
rnacentral:rRNA from 1 species